AGAGAAAAGUACCGGAGAUAAAGGAACAACCUCAUGAUACAAAGGAAGAGAGAGUAGCAAGACUGGAGGAGAAAGAAACAGAAGGAGCAGCACCUCAAUCAGUAAUUAAUCAAGAUAUACUAUCAAGAGUGACAAUAAUUAAUAGACGAUUAAUAAAAGA